UGGGGAAUUUUGGACAAUGGGCGAAAGCCUGAUCCAGCAAUGCCGCGUGAGUGAAGAAGGCCUUCGGGUUGUAAAGCUCUUUUGUCAGGGAAGAAACGGUGAAAGCUAAUAUCUUUUUCUAAUGACGGUACCUGAAGAAUAAGCACCGGCUAACUACGUGCCAGCAGCCGCGGUAAUACGUAGGGUGCAAGCGUUAAUCGGAAUUACUGGGCGUAAAGCGUGCGCAGGCGGUUUUGUAAGUCUGAUGUGAAAUCCCCGGGCUCAACCUGGGAAUUGCAUUGGAGACUGCAAGGCUAGAAUCUGGCAGAGGGGGGUAGAAUUCCACGUGUAGCAGUGAAAUGCGUAGAUAUGUGGAGGAACACCGAUGGCGAAGGCAGCCCCCUGGGUCAAGAUUGACGC
rnacentral:rRNA from 1 species